AAGGCUGAGCCGAAGGCUACGAUGCAGUCGAGCGGUAACAGGGGUAGCUUGCUACCCGCUGACGAGCGGCGGAAGGGUGAGUAGUGCAUAGGAAUCUGCCCGAUAGUGGGGGAUAACCUGGGGAAACCCAGGCUAAUACCGCAUACGUCCUACGGGAGAAAGGGGGCUCCGGCUCCCGCUAUUGGAUGAGCCUAUGUCGGAUUAGCUAGUUGGUGAGGUAAUGGCUUACCAAGGCAACGAUCCGUAGCUGGUCUGAGAGGAUGAUCAGCCACAUCGGGACUGAGACACGGCCCGAACUCCUACGGGAGGCAGCAGUGGGGAAUAUUGGACAAUGGGGGCAACCCUGAUCCAGCCAUGCCGCGUGUGUGAAGAAGGCCCUCGGGUUGUAAAGCACUUUCAGCGAGGAAGAACGCCUAUCGGUUAAUACCCGGUAGGAAAGACAUCACUCGCAGAAGAAGCACCGGCUAACUCCGUGCCAGCAGCCGCGGUAAUACGGAGGGUGCAAGCGUUAAUCGGAAUUACUGGGCGUAAAGCGCGCGUAGGUGGCUUGAUAAGCCGGUUGUGAAAGCCCCGGGCUCAACCUGGGAACGGCAUCCGGAACUGUCAGGCUAGAGUGCAGGAGAGGAAGGUAGAAUUCCCGGUGUAGCGGUGAAAUGCGUAGAGAUCGGGAGGAAUACCAGUGGCGAAGGCGGCCUUCUGGACUGACACUGACACUGAGGUGCGAAAGCGUGGGUAGCAAACAGGAUUAGAUACCCUGGUAGUCCACGCCGUAAACGAUGUCGACCAGCCGUUGGGUGCCUAGAGCACUUUGUGGCGAAGUUAACGCGAUAAGUCGACCGCCUGGGGAGUACGGCCGCAAGGUUAAAACUCAAAUGAAUUGACGGGGGCCCGCACAAGCGGUGGAGCAUGUGGUUUAAUUCGAUGCAACGCGAAGAACCUUACCUACCCUUGACAUCUACAGAAGCCGGAAGAAAUUCUGGUGUGCCUUCGGGAACUGUA
rnacentral:rRNA from 1 species